GGAGAUGUAGCUCAGUGGCAGAGCACUUGCCUUGCAAGAAUGAGGCUCUGGGUUCGAUCCUCAGCACUACA
rnacentral:tRNA from 1 species